GAUGAACGCUAGCGGCAGGCUUAACACAUGCAAGUCGAGGGGCAGCACGAGUAGCAAUACUUGGUGGCGACCGGCAAACGGGUGCGGAACACGUACGCAAUCUACCUUUAUCUGGGGCAUAGCCCGAAGAAAUUCGGAUUAAUUCCCCAUAAUAUGAUUAAGUGGCAUCACUUGGUUAUUAAAACUCCGGUGGAUAGAGAUGAGCGUGCGUCCCAUUAGCUAGUGGUAGGGUAACGGCCUACCAAGGCGACGAUGGGUAGCUGGUGUGAGAGCACGACCAGCCACACGGGCACUGAGACACGGGCCCGACUCCUACGGGAGGCAGCAGUGAGGAAUAUUGGUCAAUGGACGCAAGUCUGAACCAGCCAUGCCGCGUGAAGGAUGAAGGCCUUCUGGGUUGUAAACUUCUUUUAUCUGGGAAGAAACCCCUGAUUUCUAUUAGGGCCGACGGUACCAGAGGAAUAAGCACCGGCUAA
rnacentral:rRNA from 1 species